AUCUACUUCUCCUCAACAUAUGUUAUAAGACUCUUAUCUAAUCAACAAUCUGUCAUACUCAUCUCCAUUAAUCUCUGUUUCUCCUCAAAUUUCUCUUUCCUCUUGGUGUAUUCAUUAGAUACAGUAAGUUUUUCUUCUCCUCCACAAAAAUGACCUAUGAUGGUGACUUUUCUCAUUCUUCUUUGGAUAUAUUUAGGUCUGCAUGUCAUUCAAUUUAAGAAUAAUUUUGAUUUUUAUCUUAAAAGUUGUUUCUCUUUCAUUGUUAUAGGUGUAGAAAAGAUAAAAUUUAAGAUUAUCGGUAUCUAGUUUCAAAGUGUUGAUGAAAAUUUGUCCUCUGCCGGUGACCCAAUUAGCUUAAGAUUUUGACUCCACAAAUUAAUGCGAUUAGUUAAACAAUUUUGCUAAAAAAAACAAGUUACACUAUUCUCUUUGUCUUAUUUUCAUUCUAAUUUUUAUUUUCCCAAAUGAUAUAUUGAUGUCUCAAAUGUAUGCCAUUUUAUCCGAGUGAUUGUUCUGUUACAGUCAUUUACCAUUGUCUGCAUUUUUUUUGUGUAAUUUGUAUGUAUUGUUUUCAGAUUUUCUUAGCAAAAUUUUUUAACUAAUCACAUUAAUUUUGCGGAGUCAAAAUCUUAAGCUAAUUGGAUCGCCGACAGAGGACAAAUUGUCAUCAACACUUUGAAGCUAAAUAUUUCUUUACAUAUCAAUGAAAGAGAAAUAAAUUUCAAGAUAAGAAGCAAAUUAUCCUUUAAUUGAUGACAUGCAGACCUAAAUAUCCAAAGAAGAAUGAAAAUAGCCAACAUCAUCGGCCCUUUCUCAAGAGUUGGACACAUUAGGAAGAGAAAUUGGGGAAAAGGGAGAAAAAGAACUUAUUGUAGGUAAUGAAUAAAAAUUUGAGGAGAACUAGAGUUUAAUAUAGAUGAAUAUGACACAUUGUUGAUCAGAGAAGAGUCUCAGAGAUUAUGUGAGGAGAAGUCGAUUAAAACAAUGAAUUAGAGGAUCUUUAAAAGUGAAAUAGUAAAACUACCUAUGUGCCCUUGUUCAUCACUUAUAAGUCUCCAAAAUUUAAUGAUAAAAUUACACAGUUUCUCUUGUUAGUCCUUUAGAAGUGUCACUUCUAAACAAGAGUAAAGUAAUUUAAAAAAUCACGAAGUACUCGAAACAAGGACGCAAGAAAAUACAGAUAAUGUGUAUGUCCAAAAAAGAACUUUUGAAAGAAAUUUGUGUCUUCGUACUAGAUAUGUAAAGAUAUCACCCGAAAGAAAGAAAUUAUUUUUAUCCUAUGUAAGAGAAAAAGGGCUGAAUCGAAAGACAAAAACUCCUUCGUCAAUGAAAUAGUAAUAACACUCUUACAAUUAGAACUUCUUUGUUAUCUCCUCAAGAAGCUUCUGCAACUACAAACCUACCAGUUACCUCAAGUAGAGGAGAAUUUAUAAUUACUUGCUUAUCUGCCUUCAAAGUAGGAUCAACAUCGGGUGCAUCUGAUGCUUCAAGUUGAUUAAGUUCAAGACGUACUGCAAAUAGAGGUAUACAUCUUUCUACCAAAGUAAUAAAAAACAUGUAUAUAUAACAAAUAAAUGCUUUUUAUCAUGUACAUGUACAAAUAAGUUAGAAGUCAAUCUACAAAA